rnacentral:miRNA from 1 species
CGAUUCAAAGUUCGAAAAAAAUCUAUUUUUACUGAAAAAUCAGCCAUUUUGUUACUAAAAAUAGAUUUUUUUCGAACUUUGAAUC